rnacentral:lncRNA from 1 species
GUGCAAAAAAGAAAGAGUCUUAAUUUGCACUCUAAAACCCUAAACCCUAAACUUGUGACACAUUCUUAAAACUCUGUGUACAAAUAUCAACAACUGAAUGACAGCUGCUACGUUCUAAGAACUUGCCCCGUAACACAACCCACCUUCUACCGUGAAACGAAGUUGCACAGAAGUAGCCCAGUGCAACUUUGCAUGGCAAAAUAAAGUUUGAAGCACCCCAAUGACGUCACAGUUGUCUUCUGUAGCUCAUCGGAGUUUAGACUAAAAAGCUUAAAAGUUGCAGCUCUGAUUCCUACCCGAUUCCUCUGAGAGUUGUAGGAACUCCCACGACCAUGCUCUGUGCA